UACGUAGGGGGCGAGCGUUGUCCGGAUUCAUUGGGCGUAAAGGGUGCGUAGGCGGCGCGGUAAGUCGGGUGUGAAAUUUCGAGGCUUAACUUCGAAACUGCAUUCGAUACUGCCGUGCUAGAGGACUGGAGAGGAGACUGGAAUUUACGGUGUAGCGGUGAAAUGCGUAGAUAUCGUAAGGAAGACCAGUGGCGAAGGCGGGUCUCUGGACAGUUCCUGACGCUGAGGCACGAAGGCCAGGGGAGCAAACGGG
rnacentral:rRNA from 1 species